rnacentral:rRNA from 1 species
AGCAGCCGCGGUAAUUCCAGCUCCAAUAGCGUAUAUUAAAGUUGUUGCAGUUAAAAAGCUCGUAGUUGAAUUUCGAGAUCGGUUUAUUGGUCGUGCUAUUGUACGUACUGGUAUUACCGGUUUCUCCUUUCUGACGAACCUUAAUGCCAUUAAUUUGGUGUUUUGGGAAAUCAGGACUGUUACUUUGAAAAAAUUAGAGUGUUUAAAGCAGGCUCACGCUUGAAUACAUUAGCAUGGAAUAACGGAAUAGGACGUUUGAUUCUAUUUUGUUGGUUUCUAGGAUCGACGUAAUGAUUAAUAGGGAUAGUUGGGGGCAUUAGUAUUCAAUUGUCAGAGGUGAAAUUCUUGGAUUUAUUGAAGACUAACUACUGCGAAAGCAAUUUGCCAAGG